CUAGCAUCGCUGCACACUGUUAGUCUUGAUAUUAACCACAAGCAUAAAGUAUUUUGUUCAGCCCACCUUCUGUUACAGGGAUUUGAGAAGGUUUUGGCAACAUGUUGCAUAUCUAAUACAUCUGGAUACCAGUUUCUUUAGAGUAGUAUGGCAAUUGUUUUUAUCCUCCUGUGAUACAUUUAAUAGUGGCUGAGCCAGUGCUUGAAAAGCCAGUGGGCCAUAGUGCCAUGUGUACAGGCCUUAAGUUAUUAAAACUCUUCUACAGGCCCAAUGUAAUGGCCAGGAACACCUUGAGUGCUUAUGUUUACAUAACAGAGUAAAAACUACAAAAAUGAACACUAAGGCUAAAAGUCCUGCACAGUGAAUCAGCCAUAUCCAGAAGACACUUUGUGAGGGGCGGGGAGUGGGAUUUCUACACCACAAAAUUGUACAACAAUGUUGCAAUGCAAUGCAAUUUGAGAACAAUGCAACUUUGGUCUUUUAUGCAUGACAUUUACAGAAGACAAAGCCAAGUUCAGGAAACUUGAGCCAUAAUCACAAGAUUGAGUUUUGUGUUUUAGGCUGUGUGCCAUCAGGUACCAAACACCAGUAGUGCAAAGAAUAAAAUAUUUUAAGUAUUGUUUUGACAUGUGUCUAUAUCUACUGUCUUUGUCAUAUGUUUACAAAGCACUUCACUUAAUAGGAAGGCAAAGAACACAAAGAAGCUUGACCUUGAUGCAUGUAAUGAUUUUAUCCAGGUUCCCGCCUUGAGCUGGAUUCGAACCAGGCUGUGCACACCUACCGCUACUUUAUAGGCACGAACCGGACCCCCAGAUCCCUCAACAGUAAGAGCUUCUCUGUGAACCGCGAGUGUAUUAUUCGAUCACGCUUUUCAGUCUGCACUUUGAGUGAGUAACUUCCGCUGAUUCGACCAAUCAGAAGCUAAAUGGGCGGAGCAGAAUACGCUGACCAAUCGGGGUUUGGUCUACCGACGUUGGCCGGCGUGUGACGUCAUUGGCUAUGGCCGACUGCAGGGAGAGCACAGCGGCUAACAAACAAACUGAGGAGAAGUCGUGAAAAUAUGGAGUAAAACUAACGCUUCAGUCGUCGCUUCGAUCUGCUGGCACCGUGAGAAACUUGCUGGAUGUUAGAACAAGCGCUUGAGCUGUUUUUUAUCGAACACGAGUGAGGCUGGACGCUGAAGACACAUGCGGCGAGAAGGUCUGCAUGUUCAGCUGCUGCAGCCUGCAGGGAAACACCAGCUGUCACCUCGCAGACCAAACAGGUGUUACCACUUCGUCCAUGAUUGCAGAAUCCUCACACAACAAAGUAGUUCUUUGAGCUUGUGAAAAAGAGACAGACUCAAGGACUCAACCAGAAUUUCAACCAGCAAAUCACAGAGAGAAGACACAGACAAGAAGAUUGACAGAAGGUCCAGAACUUCAGCUGCUGACAUGUCCCCCUCCUCCUGCAGAGACACAACAAUGUGUUAGUUAUUAUUGUACUACUACUAAAUGACUAUGUCUCGGUAGGUUCUCAGUCAUCCAGCUCAUGGCACUCUUAAGUGCCAGCUUUAAAGGGAACUGGAUUUCUUUUAGGUUUCUUGAAGAUGUUUCACCUUGUCCAAAAGCCCUCUUCAACUGAAGAGGUUGUUUACCUAAGACGCAAAACAUCUUCAAGGAUCCCAAAAGAGGUCCAGUUGCAUUUGACUGAAGCACCUGGGUGACUGAGAACAUUCACAGAUGUACUAAGUUAUUAGUAUUAAUUUCAAAUCAACUACUGACUACAACUAAUUGCUACUGCCAUUCACUUGUUAAAACAAAAAUCAAUUUUCCUAUCUUUAGUGGAUCUUGUGAAAUAUAAACAACAAUCUGCAUGUUUGCUACGUGAACUUUCUAAAUAAAAUUAAAUGAUGAGUUUCUAUUCAGGCUAAUGACUGAUUAUUUAACUGAUACAUAA